AUUUAAGAUAUCUGUUGUUACUUGAAGAGAGAAAACUGAGAACAAUAAAAUCUAAUUCUCUCACCUUUACCAAGGCACAGAAAAAAUCCAAACAGACUAGGAUAACAGCCAAAGAAUUGAAGUAAAAUCUACCAGAAUCCUUCAACUGCCUUCCUAAAACUUCAUUUACUGUUCCUGUCACAUCUUGAGCAACUUGAGUCUACAACUUCCAGAGCAGUUGCUUUACUUUUUGAAAAAUAUACAUGGACGAAAUUACAAGUAUGUUCCGCCACCAGUGAACAGAGGCUGAAGUUUCCUGUGAAGAAGGAGAAGGAAGCAAAGUGGAGGUGCCACUGAGGUGAUUUCGACAUGUUAGGUGCCAGGGGAGUGUGGGCCUG